AACGAACGCUGGCGGCAUGCCUAACACAUGCAAGUCGAACGAGACCUUCGGGUCUAGUGGCGCACGGGUGCGUAACGCGUGGGAACCUGCCCUUAGGUUCGGAAUAACUCCCCGAAAGGGGUGCUAAUACCGGAUAAUGUCUUCGGACCAAAGAUUUAUCGCCUUUGGAUGGGCCCGCGUUGGAUUAGCUGGUUGGUAGGGUAAAAGCCUACCAAGGCGACGAUCCAUAGCUGGUCUGAGAGGAUGAUCAGCCACACUGGGACUGAGACACGGCCCAGACUCCUACGGGAGGCAGCAGUGGGGAAUAUUGGACAAUGGGCGAAAGCCUGAUCCAGCAAUGCCGCGUAAGUGAUGAAGGCCUUAGGGUUGUAAAGCUCUUUUACCCGGGAUGAUAAUGACAGUACCGGGAGAAUAAGCUCCGGCUAACUCCGUG
rnacentral:rRNA from 1 species